rnacentral:rRNA from 1 species
GACGAACGCUGGCGGCGUGCUUAACACAUGCAAGUCGAACGGAAAGGCCCUGCUUUUGUGGGGUGCUCGAGUGGCGAACGGGUGAGUAACCCGUGAGUAACCUUCCCUUGACUUUGGGAUAACUUCAGGAAACUGGGGCUAAUACCGGAUAGGAGCUCCUGCUGCAUGGUGGGGGUUGGAAAGUUUCGGCGGUUGGGGAUGGACUCGCGGCUUAUCAGCUUGUUGGUGGGGUAGUGGCUUACCAAGGCUUUGACGGGUAGCCGGCCUGAGAGGGUGACUGGCCACAUUGGGACGGAGAUAGGGCCCAGACUCCUACGGGAGGCAGCAGGGGGGAAUAUUGCACAAUGGGCGGAAGCCUGAUGCAGCAACGCCGCGUGCGGGAUGACGGCCUUCGGGUUGUAAACCGAUUUCGCCUGUGACGAAGCGUGAGUGACGGUAAUGGGUAAAGAAGCACCGGCUAACUACGUG